rnacentral:rRNA from 1 species
AUUGAACGCUGGCGGCAUGCCUUACACAUGCGAGUCGAACGGCAGCACGGGUGCUUGCACCUGGUGGCGAGUGGCGAACGGGUGAGUAAUACAUCGGAACGUACCUUAUCGUGGGGGAUAACGCAGCGAAAGCUGUGCUAAUACCGCAUACGCCCUGAGGGGGAAAACGGGGGAUCGAAAGACCUCGCGCGAUUAGAGCGGCCGAUGCCUGAUUAGCUUGUUGGUGGGGUAAAAGCCCACCAAGGCGACGAUCAGUAGCUGGUCUGAGAGGACGAUCAGCCACACUGGGACUGAGACACGGCCCAGACUCCUACGGGAGGCAGCAGUGGGGAAUUUUGGACAAUGGGGGCAACCCUGAUCCAGCAAUGCCGCGUGAGUGAAGAAGGCCUUCGGGUUGUAAAGCUCUUCUGUCAGGGAAGAAACACCGGCUCUAACACAGUCCGGGAAUGACGGUACCUGAAGAAUAAGCACCGGCUAACUACGUGCCAGCCGCCGCCGUAA